rnacentral:rRNA from 1 species
AGGUGCUGCAUGGCUGUCGUCAGCUCGUGUGUGAAUGUUGGGUUAAGUCCCGCAACGAGCGCAACCCUUAUCCUUUGUUGCCAGCGGUUAGGCCGGGAACUCAAAGGAGACUGCCAGUGAUAAACUGGAGGAAGGUGGGGAUGACGUCAAGUCAUCAUGGCCCUUACGAGUAGGGCUACACACGUGCUACAAUGGCGCAUACAAAGAGAAGCGACCUCGCGAGAGCAAGCGGACCUCAUAAAGUGCGUCGUAGUCCGGAUUGGAGUCUGCAACUCGACUCCAUGAAGUCGGAAUCGCUAGUAAUCGUGGAUCAGAAUGCCACGGUGAAUACGUUCCCGGGCCUUGUACACACCGCCCGUCACACCAUGGGAGUGGGUUGCAAAAGAAGUAGGUAGCUUAACCUUCGGGAGGGCGCUUACCACUUUGUGAUUCAUGACUGGGGUGAAGUCGUAACAAGGUAAGCGUAGUGCU